rnacentral:rRNA from 1 species
AGUGAACGCUGGCGGUAGGCCUAACACAUGCAAGUCGAACGGCAGCACAGUAAGAGCUUGCUCUUACGGGUGGCGAGUGGCGGACGGGUGAGGAAUACAUCGGAAUCUACUUUUUCGUGGGGGAUAACGUAGGGAAACUUACGCUAAUACCGCAUACGACCUACGGGUGAAAGCAGGGGAUCUUCGGACCUUGCGCGAUUGAAUGAGCCGAUGUCGGAUUAGCUAGUUGGCGGGGUAAGGCCCACCAAGGGGACGAUCCGUUGCGGGUCUGGGAGGAUGAUCAGCCACACUGGAACUGAGACACGGUCCAGACUCCUACGGGAGGCAGCAGUGGGGAAUAUUGGACAAUGGGCGCAAGCCUGAUCCAGCCAUACCGCGUGGGUGAAGAAGGCCUUCGGGUUGUAAAGCCCUUUUGUUGGGAAAGAAAAGCAGCAGGUUAAUACCCCGCUGUUCUGACGGUACCCAAAGAAUAAGCACCGGCUAACUUCGUG